rnacentral:misc_RNA from 1 species
GAUGAAGAACGUAGCGAAAUGCGAUAAGUAAUGUGAAUUGCAGAAUUCAGUGAAUCAUCGAAUCUUUGAACGCACAUUGCGCCCCUUGGUAUUCCAUGGGGCAUGCCUGUUCGAGCGUCAUUUGUACCCUCAAGCUUUGCUUGGUGUUGGGUGUUUGUCCUCUCCUUUGCGUUUGGACUCGCCUUAAAGCAAUUGGCAGCCAGUGUUUUGGUAUUGAAGCGCAGCACAAUUUGCGAUUCUAACCGACUACACUUGCGUCCAUAAGCCUUUUUUAACUUUUGACCUCGGAUCAGGUAGGGAUACCCGCUGAACUUAAGCAUAUCAAUAAGCGGAGGA